GUAUGUCGCGAGCGUUAUCCGGAAUUAUUGGGCAUAAAGGGCAUCUAGGCGGCCGGAUAAGUCUGGGGUGAAAACUUGCGGCUCAACCGCAAGCCUGCCCUGGAAACUAUGCGGCUAGAGUACUGGAGAGGUGGACGGAACUGCACGAGUAGAGGUGAAAUUCGUAGAUAUGUGCAGGAAUGCCGAUGAUGAAGAUAGUUCACUGGACGGUAACUGACGCUGAAGUGCGAAAGCUAGGGGAGCAAACAGGAUUAGAUACCCUGGUAGUCCUAGCUGUAAACGAUGAUUACUGGGUGUGGGCAUGAAGAGUGUCCGUGCCGAAGCUAAUGCGAUAAGUAAUCCGCCUGGGGAGUACGGCCGCAAGGCUG
rnacentral:rRNA from 1 species